AGUGAACGCUGGCGGUAGGCCUAACACAUGCAAGUCGAACGGCAGCACAGUAAGAGCUUGCUCUUACGGGUGGCGAGUGGCGGACGGGUGAGGAAUACAUCGGAAUCUACUUUUUCGUGGGGGAUAACGUAGGGAAACUUACGCUAAUACCGCAUACGACCUACGGGUGAAAGCAGGGGAUCUUCGGACCUUGCGCGAUUGAAUGAGCCGAUGUCGGAUUAACUAGUUGUCGGGGUAAAGGCCCACCAAGGCGACGAUCCGUAGCUGGUCUGAGAGGAUGAUCAGCCACACUGGAACUGAGACACGGUCCAGACUCCUACGGGAGGCAGCAGUGGGGAAUAUUGGACAAUGGGCGCAAGCCUGAUCCAGCCAUACCGCGUGGGUGAAGAAGGCCUUCGGGUUGUAAAGCCCUUUUGUUGGGAAAGAAAAGCAGCAGGUUAAUACCCCGCUGUUCUGACGGUACCCAAAGAAUAAGCACCGGCUAACUUCGUG
rnacentral:rRNA from 1 species